rnacentral:rRNA from 1 species
ACAGAGGUGGCGAGCGUUAUUCGGAAUUAUUGGGCGUAAAGGGCGCGUAGGCGGCCAAGCAAGUCUUGGGUGAAAUCCCUCGGCUCAACCGAGGAACUGCCUUGGAAACUGCAUGGCUCGAGGCCGGGAGAGGGUAGCGGAAUUCCCAGUGUAGCGGUGAAAUGCGUAGAUAUUGGGAGGAACACCGGUGGCGAAGGCGGCUACCUGGACCGGUUCUGACGCUGAUGCGCGAAAGCGUGGGGAGCAAACAGGA